GUAAAUCUCCAGUGUUGAAAUCCCAGUGUUAAGGACUUUUAGAGUAAAGAGUUAAAGUUGCGGUGUUGAAUUUCAAACGAUUAACACUAGCUAGUGUAAACGGCACCCUCUUGCGGUGUUAACACGGAAAGUAACCCAUAUUAACACUGUUGAGUGUUAUUAAUAACAUCCGGGACAUUUUCUCGUGUGCGCGCAUAACCCAUCUGAAAUAUUUUUCAAAGACGCCAUUUUCUUUGCUCGCGAUGCGAAGUGCAUAUGGAAUUAAAACAGCGAAAUAAAGUGUUUAGUCUUACUUACAAAAUAUGUUUUGUAAUAUCAUAUAGUUUUAUAACGAUAUUUAUGUGCUGUAUGCGCCUAAACGUUUCUCAGAGACAUUUCCUUUCACUCGCGACGCGGAACAGACGAGGGCUUUUUUUCAAAACGGGAAAAUCCGAAAAGCGAUAUUUCAUUUCACCAGCGAUGUAAAGUAUACAGGGAAGUUGGUUUUAACAAGGAAAACACCGACAGUAACAAUUUGAAUUGCUCUGCAGUGCGCAGAUGCGGAGUUCACUGGGAAACACCAGAAAUAUUUUCAUUCACUCGCGAUGCUCUGGAGCAGAUGGGGAAGUUGGUUUGAACAAAGAAAACACCAAAAAUGGUUCAUGCUGGCUUAACACACAGAAUCAAAAGGAGAUGAUGUGCUUGAAGAGUAUGAAGCCACCAAUAUAUGAGAGUUGUCCAACCUCAACGCAGAGAGAUCAGUAUGCACUUGGAAUUGUGACUGUCUCUGUCGUUAGAAGACCCAUUUUCUAGGGAAGGUGUGUGAUGCUGCAAAUAGGAGUGGAUAUCUUGCUUGGCUGAAAACUGCUGAGAAACGCAUCUUGUCGUGCUGA